UACGUAGGGUGCGAGCGUUGUCCGGAAUUAUUGGGCGUAAAGAGCUUGUAGGCGGUUUGUCGCGUCUGCUGUGAAAAUCCGGGGCUCAACCCCGGACUUGCAGUGGGUACGGGCAGACUAGAGUGUGGUAGGGGAGACUGGAAUUCCUGGUGUAGCGGUGAAAUGCGCAGAUAUCAGGAGGAACACCGAUGGCGAAGGCAGGUCUCCUGGGCCAUUACUGACGCUGAGAAGCGAAAGCAUGGGGAGCGAA
rnacentral:rRNA from 1 species